CCCCCCCCCCCCCCCAGUUUCCCCACUGCUGGCUUUUAAAUUAGCUGGGUGGUGGUUUUUGAUGGUGUCAUCUGCCAGCACUGCUCCUAGCUGCAAAUAAAAGCAGCUGAUGAACAAGGCCAGUGGCUCUUCUCAGUGCAGCGUGGCUUUUCCUAAAAAAGUCAUAAAGAAAAGAACAGAGAUCCUAACCCCUUGAAUUUUUUCAAAACUCUCAGCUUGAGAACCCAUGGAAGAGACUCUGAACAACAACAUAGACAAAAUGUUGAAGUAAAUUCUACAUCUCCUUAAAAUCAUACCUAGAUGAUGGAGUCCUUGUACAUAUCAAAUGACUGAGAAAAAUGACUUAAAUCAGCCUGAGCUGGAUGAGGUUCACUCUAGAAAACAGAAUUGCAGGGUCAGAGAAAAUGUAGAGUUUAUGGCGCACAGUGCAAGAGCUGUUAUGGCUUCCUUAUAUUAGUGUGCUUGUAAGCUAGGGUCUUCACUUGCUCAUGCAUGCUUAUGCAGCAGCAGCAGCAAUCAUGAAUGUGUUUUUGUUUAUGUAACCGUUCUGCUGUUCAUUUAUGUAACCAUCCCCACACAGGCCAAUUUGCCCCGGGUCCCACACUGUGCUUGGGUCCUUUCUGAUUACAGAAAAUAAAAGGCAAGGAAAAAAAGGAAAACACCUAAUACAAUUUAAAACACUAUCAACUACAAGUCAUAGUCCAUAGGUUGUACCUUCUUGGGGCUUCACCCAUGGCUACAGUUGUGAAGGCCCAGAAAACAAAAACAGGAGAAUUCAGGAAAAAAAUGGAAGAUUUUCUGGUUUUUUUCCGAGGGUGGAAUUCCCCCCCCCCCCCCAAAAAAAAUUGACUAUUUUUGAAAAAUUAAAAAAACCUCUUAUGGAAUAUUUUUUUUAGAAUGAUGAAUAAAAUGUUUGAGACAAGGUGUUCAUAUAUUGCUACCCUUUACUCCCCAACAAUGUUUUCUAAUAACUGUAAUAGGAAGACUUUUAUGUAAUACUGUCUACGGUAUCAGAUCAUUACAAUUCCUGUACACGGAGGACAAGCGGUAUAGUACAACUCUCAAAUGCACAAGCAAGAUGCAUUUCUGCCCCAGGGGGCACUGCCAUUUUCACAAGAGAAGGAAGAAGGAUUCAGUGCCUUCUUUGCUUGCAGACUUCCUCUAUUGUUGACUUUUUAUCCAGAGGUUGGUAGAUCUGCUCCUGUACUCCUGACUAGGCCUCAAAGGACUGGGAGUGGACACUGUCAGCAGCAUUAAUUUGUUCCUGUAGAGAUUAGAAACAAGGAUCUUAUUGCCCUGCUUGCUCAAAAGCCUGAGGAGAGGAGACAGAUCAAAUCUAAAAGUUUUGGAGUUGGAAGGAACCUGCCUUCUCCAGGCCAUGUGACCUUGAGAUUCACAGAAGUACAAAAGCAGCACAAAGGAGCUGAAAGAAAGUAUAUUUCUUUAUUGAAAGGUAAGAGCUCAAAUUUCUCUGAAUUCAGUAUAUUAAACUAUAUUUUAGGUGCCUUAGUAUAUUUUCAUCACCUAUAUAAUUAAUAAUUGAAUUCCUACUAAUCUGAUGUUUUGUAACAAAUAAGACGACCUUAGAAGUGAAGUGAGGCCUGCAGGGCAGGGAAGUUGUUCACCAUAAACUCUGAGUAGGCCCCUCCUCCAUCCAUUACUACAUUUAUACAUGUUGUAGCUUAGUGUUUAUUAGGGCUGUGCGAAAUUUUGCCAGCUGUUUCGUUUUGACAAUGGUAGAUCAUGAUGAUGAAAGUGCAAGUAGCUCUUUCCAACUUUCUUGAUCCAGAAGUCCUGCUGCUGCUGCUGCUGCUUCUUCUAUACCAUCAGUAUCACAAAGGGUUGCCCAAUCAACAUCCUCAAGUAACCACAUACUGCAACCAGCUGUAUACAAAAGACUCUCAGUAGCUUCAUUUGAAGACAAGGUGACACCUACAGAUCAGGAAAAAAUGACCAAGCUCUUGCAAGAGCAAUAUAUUCUUCUGGGACACCAUUGUCAAUAACUGAAAAUGCAUACUAGCAGGAAGCUUUCAAAUUACUAGGACCAUCAUACCAUUUGCCCAGCAGACAUUCUUUGAGCAAGCCUCUUUUAGACUCAGAAUAUGAACAUGUAAUGCAAUCUGUGUAAGGAAAAAUGAACGAAGCACUGUGUCUUGCAGUACUUACAGAUGGAUGGACAAAUUUGCAUGGAGAAGGAAUCAAACUUUGUGAUAACAACACCUCAACCAGUUUUUUACAGAAGCAAUGAAACAGGAGAGAACAGGCAUACUGCAGAGUAUAUCAGUAGUAAAAUAUAUGAAGUCCUACAGAAGAUUGGGAGUGGUAAAGUAUUUACUUUGCUGACUAACAAUGCGAGUAACAUGAAAACAGCAUAGGAGAUCAUAAUGGAUAAAUAUCCACAUAUUACUGCAAUAGGAUGUGCAUCCCAUGGGCUAAACUUGCUUCUUAAUGACAUCAUAAAGUUUGACACUCUGCAAAAGAUCUAUAGAAGAGCAAAAGAAGUUAUAAAACAUGUAAAUGCUACUCAUAUUGUAGCUGUAGUCUUUAAGAAGAAGCAGGAAGAAAACAAUGCAAAGAAUAAAAUAGUGACACUCAAGCUCUGUAGUAAAGCUAGAUGGGGUGGAGUGGUGAUCUCAUGUGAAAGUUUCCUAAAAAAAACAAAGAAGCUCUUCAAGAAACAGUAAUAAUUGAGGAUGUUAAAGUAUCCAGAAGUGUAAGGAACACUGUAGUUGAUGAGGUUGUCUUCUGGGUUCAGCUGCAGAACUCCCUGAAGAUUCUAAAGCCAAUUUCUUCAGCAAUCACUGCAUCUGAAUCAGACUGCACUUUUGUUAGACAUUCCUUACCAAAUGGCCCAGAUAAAGUCAACUCUUUUUGAGAAUCUAAGUGUAUCUCCGCUUAUAAGUACAGAAGAAAGAAAAGUGAAAGGCUUUAUUAACAGACAGAAAGAAUUUUGUUGCCAGUCAAUUCAGACUGCUGCAAAUCUCUUGGAUCCAAGAUUCAAAAGCAGAAAUGUUAGUGAUGAUAGCACUGGUACUACAUUUGACUGGGUUGCAAAACAAACAACUUAGGACUUGCUAUUGGAAAGGUAUUUUCAAAUGUUGCAGAAUACAGAACAUCUUCAGGUAUUUGGUCCAGGAAUGCAGUCUGGGACUCUGCCAAGCAUAUCCCUCCUGCAACAUGGUAGCAAGGCCUUUGCACGACACAGCCUCUGACUUCUCUUGCUUCUCGCCUGCUUCAGAUUCCUCCAUCUUCUGCAGCAUGUGAAAGAAACUGGUCUAUGUUUGGAAAUACUCAAGCUGAAUGAAGAAAUAAACUAACGUGAAAGAAUUGAGAAGCUUGUCUCAGUCCAGGCAAACCUUCAGUUUUCAGAAGUCCAUGAAGAUGAUAAAAGUGAAGGAUCAGAAGAAGGAGAAACUACUGAUAGUGAUAGUUCAGAAAAUGAGACUGAUUAGACAAAAUUUAAUGUAGCAACAUUUGUAUUCAAUGAGUCUUGGUUUUUUUCCCCCUUUUUUCUCAGCUCUUUUUCUAAAAAUGAGUGCAUUCUGUAUGUGCUUGAUGCUGUGGAGGAGACUAAGUCCAGAAUACACAAUAACUUUGUUUUACUAUAA